GAUCAUAACCUGAACCAAAGUUGGAUGCCCAACCGACUGAGCUACCCAGGAGGGAGACCGUGUCCAUGCAGGACCCACAGCCUGCCAAUGAGAGGUGCCCCCCAGCAUAAUGCUCCAUCAGUGCAGGGGGAGGCUUCUUGGGGGCUCACAUUCCCCAAACAGACUUUCGGGAGGCGGAGGAAUUCUGAGGCAAGGAACCGACGACCCACUGAGAUCUGCAGGGCGGGGGUUUGCGAAAGAGGAAGGAACCGUCCAACAUACCUGCGAGUCCUCUGACCCGUCACCUCCGUCCGCCGAGGUCCACUCCUGGGCCAGCCCGGUCUCUUGAGAGGACAGCCCUGAGGAAAGGAGAAAGGAGCCAGGAGCCUCCCGCAAAACCGAGUGAGGUUUAAUCCACGGAAUGAAACCAGGAUGAAGCAGGCUUCCCCAGCUUCCAGCCCCUGCUGGAGCAAACUCCCCACAUGAGGACAUCAACGUCCUUCUCACUCCUUAGCUGGUGAGAACUGGGGGUCAGGCCAAAGAUCGGCAUUUUCCAGUCUUCCUGCACCCGGGCCCUGCUAGGAGCCCCCAACCCCCUCCCCACUACCAGGACGGACACCCAUAGCAUCCACGCCUCUGCCCGCUGGCUGUUCCUCCCCUCUGGGAGAAGGGAAGACCCUGCCCCGGUAGAAGGUCCAGUCCCUGUUCUGCUGCAGGGCUGCCUUUCGGGGGUCCGCGUCUCAGCAAGUGGCACCACCCCUUGUCCGGCAGUUGGAGCCCAAACCCCAGGCAUUAUCCUUGGUGUCUCUCUAGUCCACCCCUCCUCACCUCCAUCAGCAAGAACUCACGUUCUCCCUCUGGUCACCAUAACCUGGAACACAGCAAGCCUGUCACCACGGAGGGUCAUUGCAUGUGUGGCCCUGGCUUCCUAUUUCAAAACUUGUUUGUUGUCGGUUUCUCCACUAAAAUCUGAGCUCUA